AUACAGAGGGUGCAAGCGUUAUUCGGAAUUACUGGGCGUAAAGCGCGCGUAGGCGGAUGAUUAAGUCAGUUGUGAAAGUCCUGGGCUCAACCUAGGAACUGCAUCUGAUACUGGUCGUCUAGAGUUUAAGAGAGGGAAGUGGAAUUCCAGGUGUAGCAGUGAAAUGCGUAGAUAUCUGGAGGAACAUCAGUGGCGAAGGCGACUUCCUGGCUUAAAACUGACGCUGAGGUGCGAAAGCGUGGGUAGCGAACGGGAUUAGAAACCCUAGUAGUCC
rnacentral:rRNA from 1 species